rnacentral:rRNA from 1 species
CGGGUGCACUGAUCCGGCCGGGCCUUUCCCUCUGUGGAACCCCAUGGCCUUCACUGGCUGUGCGGGGGAAACAGGACUUUUACUGUGAAAAAAUUAGAGUGCUCCAGGCAGGCCUAUGCUCGAAUACAUUAGCAUGGAAUAAUAGAAUAGGACGCGUGGUUCUAUUUUGUUGGUUUCUAGGACCGCCGUAAUGAUUAAUAGGGACAGUCGGGGGCAUCAGUAUUCAAUUGUCAGAGGUGAAAUUCUUGGAUCUAUUGAAGACUAACUACUGCGAAAGCAUUUGCCAAGGAUGUUUUCAUUGAUAAGGAACGAAAGUUAGGGGAUCGAAGACGAUCAGAUACCGUCGUAGUCUUAACUAUAAACUAUGCCGACUAGGGAUCGGACGAUGUCAUUUCUUGACGCGUUCGGCACCUUUCGAGAAAUCAAAGUGCUUGGGCUCCAGGGGGAGUAUGGUCGCAAGGCUGAAACUUAAAGAAAUUGACGGAAGGGCACCACCAGGGGUGGAACCUGCGGCUUAAUUUGACUCAACACGGGGAAACUCACCAGGUCCAGACACAGUGAGGAUUGACAGAUUGAGAGCUCUUUCUUGAUUCUGUGGGUGGUGGUGCAUGGCCGUUCUUAGUUGGUGGAGUGAUUUGUCUGCUUAAUUGCGAUAACGAACGAGACCUUAACCUGCUAAAUAGCCCGUACUGCUCUGGCAGUUCGCCGGCUUCUUAGAGGGACUAUCGG